GGGUAAACUAAACCCUACCGGUAAACGGAAAACGAAGUAGUCGUAACUUAAACCGGUAACCGGUAAACUAAAACCAAACCUAACGUAACGGACCGACUAGUCGUACGUAGACGUUUUGAAAAGAUGGGUUCUGCUAUCACUCUUGGAUGGACCUGCGGUGCAUUAGCUAGUUGGUAAGGUAACGGCUUACCAAGGCAAUGAUGCAUAGCCGAGUUGAGAGACUGAUCGGCCACAUUGGGACUGAGACACGGCCCAAACUCCUACGGGAGGCAGCAGUAGGGAAUCUUCCACAAUGGACGAAAGUCUGAUGGAGCAACGCCGCGUGAGUGAAGAAGGGUUUCGGCUCGUAAAGCUCUGUUGGUAGUGAAGAAAGAUAGAGGUAGUAACUGGCCUUUAUUUGACGGUAAUUACUUAGAAAGUCACGGCUAACUACGUGCC
rnacentral:rRNA from 1 species